rnacentral:rRNA from 1 species
GACGAACGCUGGCGGCGUGCUUAACACAUGCAAGUCGAACGGAAAGGCCCUGCUUGCAGGGUACUCGAGUGGCGAACGGGUGAGUAACACGUGGGUGAUCUGCCCUGCACUUCGGGAUAAGCCUGGGAAACUGGGUCUAAUACCGGAUAGGAGCCAUCUUUAGUGUGAUGGUUGGAAAGUUUUUUCGGUGUAGGAUGAGCUCGCGGCCUAUCAGCUUGUUGGUGGGGUAAUGGCCUACCAAGGCGGCGACGGGUAGCCGGCCUGAGAGGGUGGACGGCCACAUUGGGACUGAGAUACGGCCCAGACUCCUACGGGAGGCAGCAGUGGGGAAUAUUGCACAAUGGGCGCAAGCCUGAUGCAGCGAAGCCGCGUGGGGGAUGACGGCCUUCGGGUUGUAAACUCCUUUCGCUAGGGACGAAGCUUUUUGUGACGGUACCUAGAUAAGAAGCACCGGCUAACUACGUG